rnacentral:rRNA from 1 species
CCCUUAGAUGUCCUGGGCCGCACGCGCGUUACACUGAUGCAUUCAACGAGCUUAUAACCUUGGCCGAGAGGCCUGGGCAAUCUUGUUAACGUGCAUCGUGAUAGGGAUAGAUUAUUGAAAUUAUUAAUCUUGAACGAGGAAUUCCUAGUAAACGCAGAUCAUCAAUCUGCAUUGAUUACGUCCCUGCCCUUUGUACACACCGCCCGUCGCACCUACCGAUUGAAUGGUCCGGUGAAGCCUCGGGAUUGUGGCGAGUUCCCUUUAUUGGGAGUUUGUCGCGAGAACUUGUCUAAACCUUAUCAUUUAGAGGAAGGUGAAGUCGUAACA